rnacentral:rRNA from 1 species
UGGGGAAUAUUGCACAAUGGGCGAAAGCCUGAUGCAGCAACGCCGCGUGAGUGAUGAAGGCCUUCGGGUUGUAAAGCUCUGUCUUUUGGGACGAUAAUGACGGUACCAAGGGAGGAAGCCACGGCUAACUACGUGCCAGCAGCCGCGGUAAUACGUAGGUGGCAAGCGUUGUCCGGAUUUACUGGGCGUAAAGGAUGCGUAGGCGGAUUUUUAAGUGAGAUGUGAAAUACCCGGGCUUAACUUGGGUGCUGCAUUUCAAACUGGGAAUCUAGAGUGCGGGAGAGGAGAAUGGAAUUCCUAGUGUAGCGGUGAAAUGCGUAGAGAUUAGGAAGAACACCAGUGGCGAAGGCGAUUCUCUGGACCGUAACUGACGCUGAGGCAUGAAAGCGUGGGUAGCAAAGCAGGAUUAGAUACCCUGGUAGUCCACGCCGUAAACGAUGAGUACUAGGUGUAGGAGGUAUCGACCCCUUCUGUGCCGCAGUUAACACAAUAAGUACUCCGCCUGGGAAGUACGAUCGCAAGAUUAAAAACUUAAAGGAAUUGACGGGGUCAUAGC